UAGGUUUGAAAUGCGCAAUUUCAUCAACAGGAGAAAUGUGCGAGCUUUAUUGAAGAAGUACAGUGAUUCAAAGCUAAGUUGGGACGAAUUUCAAGAAUUAAAAUCUGAAAUAUCUUCAAAGGGGCUUAGGACUCUACUUGAAUGGUUAGAGAAACAAGGAUUUAUCACUAGUUGUCCAAACUCGUGCAGAAGGUUAUUGGCAGCAUUGGCUUCUGACAAACCAGUAUGCGCAAUUGUGCCCCCCAAAGAAGAAGUUUUGGACCUCUUGAUAAGGAUGUCUGAUGGAGCCAAUCCAAAAGACAAUCCUUCGACUGAUUUAAAACUUCUUCAUGAAGAAGUGCCCUUACUGUUUAACGUCAUUGAGACUAGCGAAGAAAUUCCAAUUACUAUUCAACCGCUGCUAAAGGAAUUGGUACAAAAGGCGAUAAGUCCGUUCGAGGUCAAGGACGGUCAGUGGCGUUUGCCACACAACUUACCUGCGGUGUCUCAAAAUUCGUCCCAUGGAUAUCUACCUUCUCUGCCAGAACUGGUUCAACGAGGGAAUUAUGUUCUUGACAAUAGGAAGACACAGCAGGGAGAUUGAAAAUAUCUUUUCACAAGAAAAAUGAUUUGUGUAGACGUGCUAGAAACAUUCACUUUGUCAACAUGUUAGAUACAUGAUACACUUCAUUCUUCAAGUAAAUUGUUAUGUACGUCA